rnacentral:rRNA from 1 species
CCUACGGGAGGCAGCAGUGAGGAAUAUUGGUCAAUGGGCGGAAGCCUGAACCAGCCAAGUAGCGUGCAGGAUGACGGCCCUACGGGUUGUAAACUGCUUUUAUACGGGAAUAACGCGCCUUACGUGUAGGGCUUUGCAUGUACCGUAUGAAUAAGGACCGGCUAAUUCCGUGCCAGCAGCCGCGGUAAUACGGAAGGUCCGGGCGUUAUCCGGAUUUAUUGGGUUUAAGGGGAGCGUAGGCCGCAUGUCAAGCGUGCUGUGAAAUGUCCGGGCUCAACCCGGGCCUUGCAGCGCGAACUGGCGUGCUUGAGUCCGCGGAAAGCAGGCGGAAUUCGUCGUGUAGCGGUGAAAUGCUUAGAUAUGACGAAGAACCCCGAUUGCGAAGGCAGCAUGCUGCAGCGGAACUGACGCUGAUGCUCGAAAGCGCGGGUAUCGAACAGGAUUAGAUACCCGAGUAGUC